CUACACUGAUCUACAGCAUUGGGUAUUCGGUGGGAUUUGGCGUCGAUUGCACUCGAAGACCGAAACGUUUACUGCGAUGAAAAACGAAAUCCGCUGGUUUAUGCCUCCCGCGUAGUGAAAAAAACCUUGUUGUUUGUUCAUUUUCUCAUGUUUUUUAAAAAUAUAAAUAACACAAUAAAAUAGCGGUAAAAAUCGACUAGUUAACAGAAAAGUGCCAUUCCAUUUCAAAGAAAAGUUUGAAAACGCGAAGUUAUUUUCAAAGCAGACUAGUCACGUGUUUGGAUAAUUUGCAUACGUCAACGCUUUAUCCACGCGGACGGCGGACGUACUGGUUGAUUGCGUGAUUGAAGCUACGUCGAACAAACCCGAAAAGCGAAUGUCUGGUCUCGCGAUCGAAGUUUAAUGCCGGCUCUCCACGGUCACGCGAUGAUUCAUCUUUUUGGAUGUCUGAGUGCUCAAAUCUAUUUCGACAAAGAAAUAGAAUGAACAACAAUUUAGGAAGAAAAAUACACCAAUCAUGGAACAGAAUCAUCGACAGAGGGAAGAGGGUUGGAGGUAUAAAAGGAAUGAUAACCUCGUGAUAAGAUACUGUCCAAGUACUGAUAGAAAAACGAUGAAAAAUUUUAGAGGUAUGAUCGGAUUUGUGCUAUUAAUGAUUUUGAAUGUUCAUGCAUUUAAAAAACAAAAAUCUAAAUUGUUGGUCGUAAACCUGCUGACGAGGGACCGAUAGGUCCGAAACACAAUGAUAUCAGGAUGUAAAAUGCAGUUGUCAUUUUUCAAAGACGUGGCUGAUAGGCAUCAAUUGGUCAGAGGUAUUUUAUUUAUUAAAUCAACAACUAAUAGAUGUGUAAAUGAUGCAGCCUUCUGGUGAAUAUAACCAGUAUCCGGGUUCGCAGAUGCCACAGGUCAUUCCAGUUACUCCCGGCUUGCAGUCACACUGUCCUGUUUCGAGAUCACACUGCUGACUGUUCGAUGCUAUCUCGCAAUU